AUUGAACGCUGGCGGCAGGCCUAACACAUGCAAGUCGAGCGGAGCGGCGGACGGGUGAGUAAUGCCUAGGCAUCUGCCUGGGAGUGGGGGAUAACGUCCGGAAAGGGGCGCUAAUACCGCAUCCUAUCAGAUGAGCCUAGGCCGGAUUAGCUAGUUGGUGGGGUAAAGGCCUACCAAGGCGACGAUCCGUAACUGGUCUGAGAGGAUGAUCAGCCACACUGGAACUGAGACACGGUCCAGACUCCUACGGGAGGCAGCAGUGGGGAAUAUUGGACAAUGGGCGAAAGCCUGAUCCAGCCAUGCCGCGUGUGUGAAGAAGGUCUUCGGAUUGUAAAGCACUUUUAGUUGGGAGGCGUUACCCACAGAAUAAGCCCCGGCUAACUUCGUGCCAGCAGCCGCGGUAAUAC
rnacentral:rRNA from 1 species